CGUAUGGUGUUCAGCUUCGGGCUGGAUAGCGAUACGGCCUUAAGAUUGAGGU
rnacentral:ncRNA from 1 species